rnacentral:lncRNA from 1 species
GGUCCCUUUAAACAAACAAACAAACAAACAAACAACCCCCCCUUGUUAAGUCCGAAUUCCACCGUGCAGAGCUGCCCGUGGGUGAGGCGAGAUCCUUCGGAGCAGAGUGUCUGCAGAGGGGGUCAGAUCGUGGCACCGUGAAGGGAACUGGACCUAGCAAAGGAGUGGGUUAGAAAAGAGGUUUCCUGGAAAGUGAAAACUUGCACAUGACUUUUGAAAAUUCUGCCAGGUUUUCGGCUGGCUGCUGAGACUUUCAGGGAUACUUUGACAUCAUGUACACUGGAGUGAAUUAAUGGUUGUGCUAAGAUCAACUGAGAUAAUAAGGUAGUGUAAAUGAGAACAAAACCUGGCUUCCCUAGUUCAUUUGGAGAACGACUUACCUACAGGUAUCACAUGCUCUGGAAUGAAAUAUUGAGAAAAUCUUGGUUGGAUCAGACGCAUUUCCUUCCAUGGACACUGAGGAAGGAAAGGUUCAUCUGGCUUCUGGUAACCCCAUCAGCAUCCUCCAGAAAUAGAACUGGGGCAGCAGCGUGUCAAAGGUGUGUGGUAACCCAGCUCUGCAAAGGUGUCAGAAGUGUGUCAGAUGUUAAUCAGAUCUUCAGGAGAACUUAAAGCUUCUUCAUCUUUUUCCUGCUGGUUUACAAUGUAGCUUGUGUUUGAACCACUAGGAUGUUCUUCCUUCACAAAAAAAAAAAAAAAAAAAAAAAGUAUCCAUGCUAGUGUAAUAACAUCUGAUUUAUAAAUGUUUGCAUUUCUGGGUUCCAGUGUACAUACAUCACAGGUACAUUGAUGUUUGUACAUGUGUAGUGCUUAAAGAGCAUUAUAUAGAGAAUUAUGAAUAUAUAUGCAUAUGUGAAUAUACCAUUCCAGCCUGUACUAACAUAUUUUUUGUGGGUUUUUUUUUUCAACUAGAAAAAGAGGUUUCAUACUGAAAUUUUUUUACAUGGCUCCAUUUGUAUGUACAUGCAUACACAAAGCAAGUGAAGAUUUGCGAAGUGCUGAAGUAUUCUUAAUAUUGAAUUAUGUGAAACAGAGUCAUGUUUAUCUUUAUUUAUGUGUAAAAAAUUGUAUUCUUUCAUAUUUUCUGCUGACUAUCAGAGUUUUUUGGUUGGUUUUCAAUCUCAAGAUGGACCCUCUGCUCAUGUUUUUAUUCAACUGAAUAUGGAAAAUUGACAAUACAUUUGCUGAAAUCCAGAACAAUUUUAUAAUGCAUCUUGUACAUCUUCUUAAUGUUGACAGAGAGAAUUGUGCCAAAAGUUUCAACCAGUGUAAGAUUUUCUCCAGACCUUCAACAAAUUUUGUCUCUUAAUUCCCUGUAGCCCCAGUGCAGAACAGCAAACAAGUGUUCCACUUGCUUUUUUGUGUAUGCUCUGACAAAUCUUCUAACCUGAAGCUCUCUUCUGAGCAGAACCUUUUUAUAAUGUUCCCCCUCCUCCUGAUUACAGCAAUUUCAGAUUAUUUUAUCUUCAGGCACUUUUUGUUCCCUCUUCUAAUCCUUAUCAACAGCAUGGCUUGGAUUCUUUAAUUUUACACAUCAUUAUAUGCAAUGAUAAAAAGACUAGACUCGACAUGGGUAAAUGCCAAAUCUCAGCAUGCAUUGGUUACAAAGGUGUAGUUUACAUGAAACAUGUAAGAACAUUAUAUUAGUUAUUUGCCAGUCUGGGGUCUAAAGUGUCAGCAUUUUUGUGUCUCAACAGGACAGAUACUGGCCCAGUGGCUGCCUCUUUCCUAAAGCUUCCUAAAGGUUUGAAUGAGAAAAUGAAACAAUCGCUUUCAACUCCAUGGUUUCCUGCCCUGUGGAUUCUCCAAUGUUUGAUAAUGUGACAGUGAGCAGGCUUUCCCUCCAUCCAUUAACUGAUUCAAAUAUGUUCUCUUCCCCACAUUGCUGAUUUGCAUUAAAUUAGUGGGAUUUAGUAAUUUUGAGAUUUUUUUCAGUGAAAUUGGCCAACAUUGAAAAGAUAUAAAGAGGCAGGAAAUUAUACACAGGUGAGACAGACAAGAUUGUGUCUGCUCUACUUCCAUAGGAAAUCAGGCAUGCAAUCUGUAAAAUUUACCUUCUUGUACUGCAAGAAACAUUGCUCCUAUAACUCUCAAUGUAAGUAUUAAAGAACCAUUUUUUUUGGCUGGAACAGGACUAUAUUCCUGUCAAAUAAUGGGGCAGACUUCUAGUAGGAUUAUAACUACAUACAGGUAGGAAAUAUAAAUACAGGUAGGAUUAUAACUACAUACAGUCUGAUGCAAAGAAUUUCCAGUUCAGCAACAAAAAUGGUUUGAUAACUCAGAAGAUUGAUGUCACUGUCAUUUAAUGGUUUUUAGUAGCUACAAAAUAUACAUAUUUUGGUCCCUAUAUUACCAACAGAAUAUAUAAUUUACACAUUAUUAUGAAUUUAUUAAUUUCUUAAAACUAUCAGUUCAGUUUAUUUAUUUUCGUCAUAUAUUUCUUCACAGUCUCACGAAACUCACCUACCUUUUUGUCAUCGUUUUUCUGUUCCUAACACCUCAGAUUUUAGCAAACUUUCAAAGGACCUUGGGCUAAUUCUGCCUUUCAAGGCUUCACAGGAAGCUGCAUCUUGUGUCUGAUGGACCUCUACGUGCAAAGAACUGAGAUCACAAAGUUCAUCUAUUCAUUAGUUUCAGUAGUGUAACGCUUAGCAUAAAAGACAGGAAUCGGUGAAGUAUAGCUGUGGUUUUGCACUAUGCUUUAUGUAGAAUCUUACCUGGGAUUAAAUUGCAGAAAUACAAGUAAAUGAAUAUUAGAAGUGGAAUGUCAUUAUUUAAGGACUAAAUGCAAGAUCUCAUUGUUUCUAUUCACUAGAAAUAAAUAAUGUGAAUAGCGAAUAAAUUAUUUUAUU